rnacentral:rRNA from 1 species
UGGAUGGCGAGUUUGAUCCUGGCUCAGGAUAAACGCUGGCGGCGUGCCUAACACAUGCAAGUCGAACGCGCUCCCCUCCUUCGGGAAGGGAGCGAGUGGCGGACGGGUGAGUAAGACGUGGGUCACCUACCUUUCAGUGAGGGAUACCGGCGAGAAAU